rnacentral:rRNA from 1 species
UGGCGGACGGGUGAGUAAUGUCUGGGAAACUGCCCGAUGGAGGGGGAUAACUACUGGAAACGGUAGCUAAUACCGCAUAACGUCGCAAGACCAAAGAGGGGACCUUCGGGCCUCUUGCCAUCGGAUGUGCCCAGAUGGGAUUAGCUAGUAGGUGGAGUAACGGCUCACCUAGGCGACGAUCCCUAGCUGGUCUGAGAGGAUGACCAGCCACACUGGAACUGAGACACGGUCCAG